rnacentral:rRNA from 1 species
UGCCAGCCGCCGCGGUAAUACGGAGGGUGCAAGCGUUGUUCGGAAUUAUUGGGCGUAAAGCGCGUGUAGGCGGUUCGUUAAGUCUGAUGUGAAAGCCCGGGGCUCAACCCCGGAAGUGCAUUGGAAACUGGCGAACUUGAGUACGGGAGAGGAAAGUGGAAUUCCGAGUGUAGGGGUGAAAUUCGUAGAUAUCAGGAGGAACACCGAUGGCGAAGGCAUCUCUCUGGGUCGAUAUUGACGCUGAGGCGCGAAAGCGUGGGGAGCAAACAGGAUUAGAUA